rnacentral:rRNA from 1 species
AGAACGAACGCUGGCGGCAGGUCUUAGGCAUGCAAGUCGAACGGAUGACAGAGAGCUUGCUCUCUGAAGUCAGUGGCGCACGAGUGAGUAACGCGUGGGAAACUGCCCUUCACUGGGGAAUAACGUUUGGAAACGAACGCUAAUACCGCAUACGCCCGCAAGGGGAAAGAUUUAUCGGUGAUGGAUGUGCCCGCGUUGGAUUAGCCAGUUGGUGGGGUAAUGGCCUACCAAAGCAAUGAUCCAUAGCUGGUCUGAGAGGACGAUCAGCCACGCUGGAACUGAGACACGGUCCAGACUCCUACGGGAGGCAGCAGCUAAGAAUAUUGGGCAAUGGAGGAAACUCUGAACCCCCAGCCAUGCCGCGUGAAUGAAGAAGGCCUUCGGGUUGUAAAGUUCUUUUAGUCAUGAAGAUGGUGACAGUAGUGACAGAAAAAGCACCGGCUAACUUCGUGCCAGCCGCGGC